rnacentral:rRNA from 1 species
AUUGAACGCUGGCGGCAGGCCUAACACAUGCAAGUCGAACGAGUGGCGGACGGGUGAGUAAUGUCUGGGAAACUGCCUGAUGGAUGGGGAUAACUACUGGAAACUGUAGCUAAUACCGCAUACCAUCGGAUGUGCCCAGAUGGCAUUAGCUAGUAGGUGGGGUAAAGGCUCACCUAGGCGACGAUCCCUAGCUGGUCUGAGAGGAUGACCAGCAACACUGGAACUGAGACACGGUCCAGACUCCUACGGGAGGCAGCAGUGGGGAAUAUUGAACAAUGGGCGCAAGCCUGAUGCAGCCAUGCCGCGUGGAUGAAGAAGGCCUUCGGGUUGUAAAGUACUUUAAGCGGGGAGGCGUUACCAGCAGAAGAAGCACCGGCUAACGCCGUGCCAGCAGCCGCGGUAAUAC